AUAGCUACAGCAGGUUCGAGUCAUAGUAGUUAAUAUCCACUAGAUGGCGCUGUUGCACACAAAUUAACUGAAAGCAGGCAAUGGAAAACUGGACCUGAGUUUGGUAUGCAUGUCCGGCCUUUACAGUUACAUUUGAUCCUGUGCAUUAAUUUGAUAUGGAUAAUUUGAAACCCUCCCGCUGGACACUGAAAACUAAACACAGACUUGGAAAUACAAGGCAGUAAUGCGGAAUCCCUCCUCGGUAAUUGCAAAAGACAAACAUGCAGGACAUGUCAAGUUUAACCUGACUGAAAGUGACAGGUAUAUUUCUGGAGCUUCCACUGCCAAGAUGAUUUCCCCUCAACGCCGCUCGCGUUUCACGCACACCGCGAGGGUUUAUAAAACCCUUCGUUUUUGUUAUUAAUGGUGUGUUGAGAGAAAACUGGACCCUUUAAUUAUUCAUUCGAGUCAUGUUCUUUCAUGCUAAUAAGAUGCAAGUUUAGACGUUUUCUCUGCCGCCGCCGCCACCGCCGCGUGCGUUUAGUCCUCCAGGAUUCACCGGGGACUUUGCGUGGCCUGCCAAGCGCUCUUUAUUGACAUAGGAAAUCCAUAUGCCUCGCAUUUCCCUUAAUGACUUCUGCAAGUGCGCGGCUCCUUCCGGUGACUCAUGCUGCACUUGUGUGGACCGGAGACUGUGGUUUUCCAUUUACCUCUGGAGCUCCGCCACGGCGUCUACGCUGCUGUAACCCUGCACGCUUUUAAAACCAGACAGCUACAGAAAGCCCUCCUCCCCCGGCUCAGAACAAUGGAGCCGCAUCUACCCCAGUGCAUUAUGGUACUGUUGGUCUGGAAGUCUUGUUGAGUGUCGGAGAAAGCAGGAAAGAGGGGAAAAGAAUGCUAAGGUCACACUUUCACGCUGAACUCUAUGCUAAUAAUCCCAGAAUGCUUUUAAAAAGGAAGACAGCAGGAAGAAGUGGAGCAGUGAAACUCUCUUAGAGAUUUGAAGUGAAACUGGCCUUCAGAAGCAAAUAUGCUGAGAUAUAUUCACUGGAGUAAACAAGUGACAACUAUCCCAAUUCUGCUUAGUAAGACUUCACCGGCCUUCUUCUAAUGAGCUGCAGUGGAACCAGCUCCAGCAAACCCAACGGUCCACCCUAUCAAGAAGUAAUCACGACUCUAAUCAGCCAUAAAGAUGAUGUCUCAGCAGACAACAGGUGCAAUGUAGCUGAUCAGUAUUCCGGUGGGACGAGACUUCCUUCCCAGAGAGAAUGCAUGAUUAGCCCUACCAGGAGUGGGGUUUGAACCCACGAGGACAUUUGUCCAUUGGAUCUUAAGUCCAACGCCUUAACCAUU